CGUCCCAGGAGAAUACAUGGGUC
rnacentral:siRNA from 1 species